rnacentral:rRNA from 1 species
AUUGAACGCUGGCGGCAUGCCUAACACAUGCAAGUCGAACGGAGAUAGGGGCAACCUUAUUUCAGUGGCGGACGGGUGAGGAAUGCGUCGGAAUCUGCCCUAUGGUGGGGGAGUAACACAGGGAAACGUUAGUUGCUAAUACCGCAUAAUGUCGAGAGACCAAAGCAGGGGACCGGCAAGGCCUUGCGCGAUAGGAUGAGCCGACGCCCGAUUAGCUUGUUGGUAGGGUAAUGGCCUACCAAGGCGACGAUCGGUAGCUGGUCUGAGAGGAUGAUCAGCCACACUGGGACUGAGACACGGCCCAGACUCCUACGGGAGGCAGCAGUGGGGAAUAUUGGACAAU